GGAAGCCUAGUACCUGAUUGAACCUAGACGUGAGCGGUCGCCCCAUUGUCCUUGGAACGGAGUUCCCCUGCGGCCGCACGUGGUGGCAAGUGUGGUCACAAAACGGCAGAGGCCGGGUCUGUGGAACCUUGCACCAAAGGAAAUGGGCCCGACACGGGUUGGGGAAUUGAUGGGGAAGGCUGACACAGGAAGCGACCCUCGGUGGUGCGCGGAUGUCGUGAGGUUAGGUUCACCAUGCAUGGUUAAAGAACUCGAAUCGAUUCGUCUGCCUCUCACAGUUUGAGACUGCUUGAUCGCUAUGCUACACUGAGUAAUAAAGGAAUCUGAUGAUGACAUGGUCUUGAUGAU
rnacentral:lncRNA from 1 species